UUUUUUGUAUUUAGUAGAGAUGAGGUUUCACCAUAUUAGUCAGGCUGGUCUCAAACUCCUGUCCUCAGAUGAUCCACCCGCCUUGGCCUCCCAAAGUGCUGGGAUUACAGGCAUGUGCCACCGUGCCCGGCCAAUAAAUGCUGUUUCUAAGCCACCAGAGUAUGGCAUUCUGUCACACCCCAAAGGACCUAAAAUAGGGCUUUUUUUUUUUUUUGAGACAGGGUCUUGCUCUGUUGCUCAGGCUGGAGUGCAGUGUUGCAAUCAUAGCUCGCUGCAGCCUGGGAAUCCUGGCUCAAGUGAUCCUCUCACCUCAGCCUCCCAAAGGGCUUGGAUCACAGGCAGGCACCACCAACCACACCUGGUGAAGACAGAGCUUUUGUGUGGGCUAUUCUUUCUGCCUGACAUGCUCUUCCCGCAGCGUGUGCCUCAGCAAGAGGACAAGAGGAGACCCUGAGGGAGUGAUGAUGUUUGUUUUCAGGGUGGAGAACACAGCAAGUGCAAAGGUCCCAGGGCAGGAUGGUGACAAGGGUGGUAGAGGAAAGGUAAAGGGGGUGUGGGGCUGGACAGAGCAACUGAGGUGCAAGGCAGGGGAGAUGCGGUAAUAUACAUAUAUUAUAUAUACCUCUUACAUUUUACAAAUGUAGCAAAUUAUUCAAUACAAAUGGACACCAAAAAAUGUAAAAAAUAAAAAAAAGUUUUCCUAAGAACCAGGUAAAUUAGUGCAGAUUUCUGUUUUUGUUUUCUUAAAAAAAAUAAAAUUGAAGCAAAAGUGCCUAGAUUUGAGACAAGACAGACUGAACUGGG
rnacentral:lncRNA from 1 species